GGAGGCUUCAAUCCCUGCUGCUUACUCCGGGACAGAAACGCACACCUCUGGGACUGAGGGUUUUUGCUGGGCCGCAGCAGCACCUGCUUUGAGGUGUCCAGAUCUCCCCGACAAAAGCGCUUGGUACAGCCCGGGGAUUCCCCGCUGCUGCCGCCCUGACGUCAUGGAGUCCCCGGGAGGCUCCGCCCCCCUGCUCGGGCUGGAGCUUUGCGCGGCCGCUAGGGACUCGGCGGCCAUGGCAGGACCUGGCGCCCCCUGCGAUCCCUGCGCGCCCGCCGCUGUCUGGAAGCGCCACAUCGUGCGGCAGCUGCGGCAUCGGGACCGCACGCAAAAGGCGCUCUUCCUGGAGCUAGUGCCGGCUUAUAACCAUCUCCUAGAGAAGGCUGAACUGCUAGCCAAGUUCUCAGAAAAGUUGAAGUCCGAACCAAAGGAUGCCAUCUCCACCCGACAUGAGGACUGGAGGGAGGAGGUCUCAGGGACAGGCCCUGACCAAGUCUCAUCACCAGCCUCUCUGAGGGUGAAGUGGCAGCAGGAGAAGAAGGGGCUGCAGCUGGUCUGUGGUGAGAUGGCCUACCAGGUGGUGAAGAAGAGCGCAGCCCUAGACACCCUGCAGUCACAGCUGGAGGAGCGGCAGGACAGGUUGGAAGCCCUGCAGGCCUGCGUGGUGCAGCUACAGGAGGCGCGGGCUCAGCAGUCCCGGCAGCUGGAGGAACGGCAAGCGGAGAACGCAGCACAGAGAGAAGCCUAUGAGACGCUGCUCCAGCAAGCUGUGCACCAGGAGGCGGCACUGCGCAGGCUCCAGGAAGAGGCACGCGACUUGCUGGAGCAGCUUGUGCAGCGUAAGGCGCGCGCCGCCGCUGAGCGCAAUCUACGUAAUGAGCGUAGAGAGAGGGCCAACCAGGCUCUGGUGUCCCAGGAGCUGAAGAAAGCGGCUAAGCGGACUGUGAGCAUCAGCGAGAUCCCAAACACUCUAGAAGAUGGGACGAAAGAAGAGACUGUGGCUCUAGCUCCUGCCGCUCUGCCUGAGUUCUCAGAGAGUGAGACUUGUGAAAAAUGGAAGAGGCCUUUCAGGUCUGCCUCGGCCACCUCCCUGACACUGUCCCGCUGUGUGGAUGUGGUGAAGGGGCUGUUGGACUUCAAGAAAAGAAGAGGUCACUCGGUUGGGGGCGCACCUGAGCAGCGGUACCAAAGCAUCCCUGUGUGUGUGUCUGCCCAAAUUCCCUCCCAGGCUCAGGAUGUCUUGGAUGCCCAUCUCUCUGAGGUCAAUGCUGUUUGUUUUGGCCCCAACAGCAGCCUCCUGGCCACUGGAGGGGCUGACCGGCUGAUCCACCUCUGGAAUGUUGUAGGAGGUCGCCUGGAGGCCAACCAGACCCUGGAAGGAGCUGGCGGCAGCAUCACCAGUGUGGAUUUUGACCCCUCAGGCUCCCAGGUUUUGGCAGCUACUUACAACCAGGCUGCCCAGCUCUGGAAGGUGGGAGAGACUCAGUCCAAGGAAACAUUGUCCGGACACAAGGACAAAGUGACUGCUGCCAAAUUCAAGCUAACAAGGCACCAGGCAGUGACUGGGAGCCGAGACCGGACAGUGAAGGAGUGGGACCUGGGCCGCGCCUACUGUGAGGCCCAAUCCCAUUUGCCCCCAGCUCUCAGUCAUCGGGGCCCUUACCUUGCUAUGUUGUGGUAGCCGCGGGACUCAUAUUCAUUUGGGCUCAGCCUUCUAAUGAUUUCCUUCUCUGUCACUGCUGCUCCUUUCCUGCUUUCUUGGUAACCCUGGCCUUUGGUUCCAGGACUAUCAAUGUACUUUCCUACUGCAAUGACGUGGUGUGCGGGGACCACAUCAUCAUCAGUGGCCACAAUGACCAAAAGAUCCGGUUCUGGGACAGCAGGGGCCCUCACUGCAUCCAGGUCAUCCCCGUGCAGGGCCGGGUUACCUCCCUGCACCUCAGCUAUGACCAGCUGCAUCUGCUUAGCUGUUCCCGAGACAACACACUCAAGGUUAUCGACCUGCGAAUCAGCAAUAUCCGACAGGUGUUCAGGGCAGAUGGCUUCAAGUGCAGUUCUGACUGGACCAAAGCUGUGUUCAGCCCUGACAGAAGCUAUGCACUGGCAGGCUCUUCAAACGGCGACCUGUACAUCUGGGAUGUGAACACCGGGAAACUGGAGACCAGCCUACAGGGACCCCACUGAGGCUUCUCAAACCGCCUGCUGGUUGGAUGUCCAGGGUCAGAGUAAGGCUGCCUGCCUGCUCCUGCUGCCCUCCUGAGGUCUGUCUUCCCUCUUCAGCACUGCUGUUAAUGCCGUGGCUUGGUGCUUCUCCGGGAACCACGUUGUGAGUGUGGACCAAGGCAGGAAGGUGGUGCUCUGGCACUGAGUGGCACAAGUUCCCUGUAUGGGUUGGACUCUGAAGCCAGAAGCCAGAGAACAGCUUCCCUGUGCUCAGGACUCCAGAGCUGGGGUUGGGGUCUACUACAGAAUUCAUGUGAGGGCCAGGCAGGACCUGGCCUGUUUGUUAAAAAUCAAAGUGUGGGUUAGGAACUACAGUUUUGUUUUUUAAAAUCUAUUUGUUUACUCUCUUCAGUGUUAAAAACUGUAUCUAAGCCGUGUCUUGCCUCUUUGAAGCAUUUGUGGGUACAGAGACACUUAGACUUAGCCUCUUCUUUUUCCAUAGAGCUAGGGCCUUGUAGCAGAGCUUCUGUCUGGGAAAUGGGCUGUUCCAGUCUAGCUGUGGGAUAACAUGAAGAAAGGCUCAGGCAAGGGCAGCAAAGAGCAGCUUUUCAUCUAGGGAGUGGACCUGAUGGAAAGGGUGAAUAAACCAGAGUGACAUCGGAAUAGCUGGCAGAGGCCUGCCUGGAGCCUGGGACAAUGGUCUGAGCUGUAGUCCUAUGUCCUGGAUGAUGGGUGGCCUCCUGCCACUAUCUCCUUCCCUUGUAUGUUACCUCUGCCCUUGCAGCCACAGUGCCAGUCUCUGGGGCGACUGCGCUUAGUGCUGCUCUCUAAAGGUGCCUUCACUCCCCUAGACUUGUCCUGAUACAGUUUCCUCAGCUUUUGUUGUUGUUUGGACAGGGUCAUGUAACCCUGUCUAGUCAGGCACACAUGUAAUAGCUCAGAAUUUGUGGAAAUCUGGCCUCAGCCUCAGUGUCGGGGUGGCAGGCACUGACUGCCUCAGCCCUCAGCAUCUAAGGUACCAUGGUCAGCAUGGCCAAAAGUCCCCUUUCUGCCUUCAGAGAAGUUCGUCACUUUGGUCCUACACAUGCUUUUUCCUCUGCCUUCAAUGUCCUUGUCUCUCCCAACGACAAUUCAGGUUAUCUUUUGGGACCUCUUUAUUGACAGCCUAUCCUUAACUGUCAGGCUCAGUAAGAGGCCUUGGUCCCCUACUUCUAGUUUGCCUGUCUUCUUAAAACUGGGAGCAACUGUAAGAGAACAGUAUUCCCUGCCUCCAGUCCUGGCCCCAGGAAAUACUUCCUGGGUGGUUAUAUUCUCUUGCUUUGCAAGUUCAACAGUGGAAGGUUCCAGGGAUGGGACAUUCCAGCUCCUCAGCCUUGGCCAUCCCCUUGGCGCAGCUCUCAGUGGCCACCAGGGGUCACUAGUUUCCUGGUCAGCAGUUUUGUUUUAUUUUGUUUUUUUUUUUUUUCUUUCUGCCUUUCUUCUGGGAAAGACCAACUCGCCCAGUGGCCACCAUUACUGAGGAUCACCCAGACCUCGGUCUUGCUCUGGCUUCUGAGCCUUAUUUGUUCCUCCUAAGCAUUUGUGAUGGAGCACGUUCUAAAGUGAGAAAAGAUUGUCAUUCAAGGUAACACAGCUAUACACAGCUGAAUGGUUCCCGCAUCACUCCUUGCAGACUUACUCAUUUAUGUAGCUGAGUGUGACCUCCUUCCUGCCUGGGCCUUCACCUCCCAAAUAUGUAUCCCCAUAUGGUGUUGGAGACUGGAACCUUGGGGAUUUGUUUGGGUCAGAAAAGCAAUGUACAAACUACAUCUUCAACCCACAUCCUCUCUUUUUAUACAACUUUUUUUGUGUGUUUGAAUAUUUUGCCUGCAUGUAUAUAAGUGCAUGUGUACGUGCUUGGUGCCCACAGAGGACAUCUUAAACUGAAGUUAUGGACGGUUAUGAGCUGUCAUGUGGCUUCUGGGAACUGAACCCAGGUCCUCUGCAAGAGCAGCAAGUGCUCUUAACCUAUGAAUCAUUUCUCUAGCCCCUGCACCACAAAACCAAAAUUUCAAGAGACAGAGGCUCUCAACUGGGCAGGGUUUUUCCACCAGGGGUACACAGAGCUGUGCCUAACCUGACACUCCCAAAUGCUCUUUCACCUUGGACUCUGAGCUGAAGAUUACCUCUGGAGGCAUGUGCUAGGAUUUGAGAGUGAGUCCUGGGAGACUGCUGUUCCAGCCACAGCAUCUGGGCCAAGUCCCUGCAGAUGUUUCCAUCGUACCUCAGGCAGUAGUGAACUAUUUUAAUGACCCGUAAGAGUUACCUAGGAAAUGUGACUCACUCCUGGGUACAGGGACCUCUCUGCCCCUUCAGUUCUCUUGAGGAAGAGCCAAGGCCAGCAAAGGAGAGAUUCCUAGGGUUCCUAAUAAAAAUUAGAAUAGCCUGAGCUUGCCUAGCAUCACAAAGCACAACUAUAUGAAAGGGGCUUAGCUUAGUUGGCAGGAUGCAUGCUGAGCCUGCAUGAAGCUCGGAUUCAACCUCCUGCAUCACAUGAAACUGAGUAUUGUAUAUUAUGCCUGGAAUCCCAGCACUUAGAAGAGGAUCAGAAACCCAAGGUCAUCAUGAUUUGGAGGACAGCUUAGGCUACAUAAGACUGUUCAAACAUUUUUUUAAUUUUAGAGAGGCCAAAACAGCAAAAUAUUGGUGAACUUUCUGAUUCUCUUUGGCAAAAACUAGACUCAGGUUCAGUAGAGGGGACUGGCCUAGUCUUGUGGAAACCAGUUUAGCUUCUUCUCCCACUCCUAUCUUAUGAAUCUCAGGGAAGUCAUAAUGUUUUCCAGGCUGUUAUGUACCCCUCCCCACUAUGGAACGUCCUUCAGGGGUUGAUAUACAGAUGUGAGGCCUGCUGCCUGAAUUGGCUAGGCUCAACCCUUUCUGAUCCUGAGACCCUAGGGAGAAGAGACAAGUCCUGUAGGGAUCCUAUUGCCAGUGCUAGCUCAAGCCUGUUCUCGAGUCUCUCGCCUAAGAUGUGAGAAGCCCCUCCAGUGCCCUGUAGACAGUCUCUAGAAGAAUCCUGAUAACCAGGUGUAGGCCCACUUGUGAGAUUCAGAUAUACCGUGGGUAAGUGCCAUGUCUGCUGCAAGUAUAUCCACUAGUAACUAUCUUUAGUUCACUUGUACAUCAUCUUACUAAAUCUUCCUGGAUCUGAGGCAGUUUAUAUUAUCUUCUCACUUCCAAGUUAAAGAUGAAGUUGAGGGCUGAGACUUAGAUUAUGGCAGGCAAAUCCAUGCACGGCAGAGGUUGUUCAUGGGUCUCCACCCAGUUCUUUCCCUGCCCCUUACUGGUGUGUCUGGCAUAUAAACCUGUGAACCCUAACUCACAGGUUUUCUCUAUUAUGCUUCAGGAUAACAUUCCAGAAACAUGUUCCUUGAACAGCAUUCUCAGGAAAAGACAUGAAGGAGUCCUAUGUGUUUUCUUGGCCACUGAUCCAAAGGAAAAUAGUCCAGGAACAAGACACUCUUUGGUGUUCUCGUAGUUCUUGGCAGCUCAUGCUUUUAUAAAGCAAACCCAGCAAAAUCCCAGGAGGAAACAAAACUUGCUAUGUCAAGUUGCAGGAUUUCAGGAAGAAAAAUGUUUAUUCUCCCCUUGACCUAAAAUUUCUGUAAUUUGGUUUUAUUUCUGACACUGUGUGUGUGGUAUGUGUGUGUAUCCAACUUAAACUAAAUAAAUGCAGAGGCUCAUUGCAGCCAGAUACUG